AGCGGAGUGGCCUAAUGGGAAGAGCACAGGCCUGGGAGUCAGAGGACCUGGGUUCUGUUCCCAGCUCUGCCA
rnacentral:tRNA from 1 species